rnacentral:rRNA from 1 species
GACAGAGGUUGCAAACGUUGUUCGGAAUUACUGGGCAUAAAGCGCACGUAGGCGGUCCGUUAAGUCAUGUGUGAAAUCCCCCGGCUCAACCGGGGAAUUGCGCAUGAUACUGGCGGGCUAGAGAUCGAUAGGGGUGAGCGGAACUCCAGGUGGAGCGGUGAAAUGCGUAGAUAUCUGGAGGAACACCAAUGGCGAAGGCAACUUCCUGGGGCAAUACUGACACUGAUGUGCGAAAGCGUGGGGAGCAAACAGG